rnacentral:rRNA from 1 species
UACGUAGGGUGCAGGCGUUAAUCGGAAUUACUGGGCGUAAAGCGUGCGUAGGCGGUUUGUUAAGACAGGUGUGAAAUCCCCGGGCUUAACCUGGGAACUGCGCUUCUAACUGGCAGGCUUGAGUGUGGCAGAGGGGGGUGGAAUUCCACGUGUAGCAGUGAAAUGCGUAGAGAUGUGGAGGAACACCGAUGGCGAAGGCAGCCCCCUGGGCUAACACUGACGCUCAUGCACGAAAGCGUGGGGAGCAAACAGG